GUGAAUAUUGUACUUAUUCUGAACACGAAGAAAGCUUGCUCUCCUAGAGUUAUACUGCACUUCAUGAAAUAACGUUUUGAUCUUUGUUUUUCAACUCAGUGACUACUAGACCCAAUCUCUGCACAAGGAAAAUGCCAUUUAUUAUCUUCCCUUUUACCCUGGGGAAAGUGACUGAAACAAGUGGAUUUUACAGUUGCCUUGAUUUACUCUUGACAGAGCUGCUCUUGAGUCCAUCUGGGAUAAGGAACAUGCAACUUAUCCUGGCCUGUCAGGUCAUUCAGAAAAAUGCUCUUCUGGCAGCUGUUCAGCAAGCCUCCCUUUGUUACUUGGUCCAGCCUCCCCAUACCCUGGACAUCAAGGAAGGAAAUGUAAAUCUAACAAGUUGGAGCAGCUCAGCAAGUGGAAGAAAUUCGGUGUCUGGGAGUGAAACAGAGGAUCAGCUGCUGUAAGCAACCACACCGGACACUUCAUUUUUUCCUGGGCCUUCUCCAAGUUUACUCUGUACCAUUAAAAGGUAUUUGUUACAGACUCGGCCAAGCCCCCUCCAACUGGGUAGGGGUCAGUCUGGCACGUGUGCGAA
rnacentral:lncRNA from 1 species